rnacentral:miRNA from 1 species
UGCCCACGGCUCCCCUGGUUGCAAG